rnacentral:rRNA from 1 species
AACGAACGCUGGCGGCGCGCCUAAUACAUGCAAGUCGAGCGAGAAGACGUAGCAAUACGUUUGUAAAGCGGCGAACGGGUGAGGAAUACAUGGGUAACCUACCCUCGAGUGGGGAAUAACUAGCCGAAAGGUUAGCUAAUACCGCGUACGCUCCUUGGACUUCGGUUCAGGGAGGAAGGCGAUACCGUGGGUAUCGCGCUCUUGGAUGGGCCCAUGUCCUAUCAGCUUGUUGGUGAGGUAACGGCUCACCAAGGCUUCGACGGGUAGCUGGUCUGAGAGGACGAUCAGCCACACUGGCACUGCGACACGGGCCAGACUCCUACGGGAGGCAGCAGUAAGGAAUAUUGCGCAAUGGGCGAAAGCCUGACGCAGCGACGCCGCGUGGGGGAUGAAGGUCUUCGGAUUGUAAACCCCUUUCGGGUAGGGAAGAUGAACGAGCAAUCGUUCGGACGGUACCUCCAGAAGCAGCCACGGCUAACUUCGUGCCAGCAGCCGCCGCAGUAAC